AGGGUUUGAUUAUGGCUCAGGACGAACGCUGGCGGCACGCUUAACACAUGCAAGUCGAACGAGAGAAGAGAAGCUUGCUUUUCUGAUCUAGUGGCGGACGGGUGAGUAACACGUGAGCAAUCUGCCUUUCAGAGGGGGAUACCGAUUGGAAACGAUCGUUAAUACCGCAUAAUAUAAUUGAACCGCAUGAUUUGAUUAUCAAAGAUUUAUCGCUGAAAGAUGAGCUCGCGUCUGAUUAGCUAGUUGGUAAGGUAACGGCUUACCAAGGCGACGAUCAGUAGCCGGACUGAGAGGUUGAUCGGCCACAUUGGGACUGAGACACGGCCCAG
rnacentral:rRNA from 1 species